rnacentral:rRNA from 1 species
AUUGAACGCUGGCGGCAGGCCUAACACAUGCAAGUCGAGCGAGCGGCGGACGGGUGAGUAAUGCCUAGGGAUCUGCCCAGUCGAGGGGGAUAACAGUUGGAAACGACUGCUAAUACCGCAUACGAUUGGAUGAACCUAGGUGGGAUUAGCUAGUUGGUGAGGUAAUGGCUCACCAAGGCGACGAUCCCUAGCUGUUCUGAGAGGAUGAUCAGCCACACUGGGACUGAGACACGGCCCAGACUCCUACGGGAGGCAGCAGUGGGGAAUAUUGCAAAAUGGGGGAAACCCUGAUGCAGCCAUGCCGCGUGUGUGAAGAAGGCCUUCGGGUUGUAAAGCACUUUCAGUAGGGAGGCGUUACCUACAGAAGAAGGACCGGCUAACUCCGUGCCAGCAGCCGCGGUAAUAC